rnacentral:rRNA from 1 species
UACGGAGGGUGCAAGCGUUAUCCGGAUUCACUGGGUUUAAAGGGAGCGUAGGUGGGAUGGUAAGUCAGUGGUGAAAUCUCCGGGCUUAACUCGGAAACUGCCAUUGAUACUAUUCGUCUUGAAUAUCCUGGAGGUGAGCGGAAUAUGUCAUGUAGCGGUGAAAUGCUUAAAUAUGACAUAGAACACCUAUUGCGAAGGCAGCUCACUACGGGAUUAUUGACACUGAGGCACGAAAGCGUGGGGAUCAAACAGG